UACGGAGGGUGCAAGCGUUAUCCGGAUUUACUGGGCUUAAAGGGUGCGCAGGCGGUUAUGUAAGUCAGUGGUGAAAUCUCUAGGCUUAACCUGGAAAUUGCCGUUGAUACUAUAUAUCUUGAAUGCUGUGGAGGUAAGCAGAAUAUGUCAUGUAGCGGUGAAAUGCUUAGAUAUGACAUAGAAUACCUAUUGCGAAGGCAGCUUACUACGCAGAUAUUGACGCUCAUGCACGAAAGCGUGGGGAUCAAACAGG
rnacentral:rRNA from 1 species